GGCUCAGGACGAACGCUGCGGCGUGCUAACACAUGCAAGUCGAGCGAUGAAGCCUUCGGGGCGGAUUAGCGGCGGACGGGUGAGUAACACGUGGGUAACCUGCCUCAUAGAGGGGGAUAGCCUCCCGAAAGGGAGAUUAAUACCGCAUAAUGUAUUUUGAUCACAUGGUCGAAAUAUCAAAGGAGUAAUCCGCUAUGAGAUGGACCCGCGGCGCAUUAGCUAGUUGGUGAGGUAACGGCUCACCAAGGCGACGAUGCGUAGCCGACCUGAGAGGGUGAUCGGCCACAUUGGAACUGAGACACGGUCCAGACUCCUACGGGAGGCAGCAGUGGGGAAUAUUGCGCAAUGGGGGAAACCCUGACGCAGCAACGCCGCGUGAAUGAUGAAGGCCUUAGGGUUGUAAAGUUCUGUCUUCUGGGACGAUAAUGACGGUACCAGAGGAGGAAGCCACGGCUAACUACGUGCCAGCAGCCGCGGUAAUACGUAGGUGGCAAGCGUUGUCCGGAUUUACUGGGCGUAAAGGAUGCGUAGGCGGAUAUUUAAGUCAGAUGUGAAAUACCCGGGCUCAACUUGGGUGCUGCAUUUGAAACUGGAUAUCUAGAGUGCGGGAGAGGUAAGUGGAAUUCCUAGUGUAGCGGUGAAAUGCGUAGAGAUUAGGAAGAACACCAGUGGCGAAGGCGACUUACUGGACCGUAACUGACGCUGAGGCAUGAAAGCGUGGGGAGCAAACAGGAUUAGAUACCCUGGUAGUCCACGCCCUAAACGAUGUCGACUAGUUGUUC
rnacentral:rRNA from 1 species